GACGAACGCUGGCGGCGUGCCUAAUAAAUGCAAGUAGAACGCAGUGGCGAACGGGUGAGUAACGCGUAGGUAACUGCAUCAUCGCGGGGGAUAACUAUUGGACCUGAUUGCUCAUACUGCAUACUGUGAGAUGGACCUGCGUAGUAUUAGAUAGUUGGUGAGGUAACGGAUCACAAAGGCGACGAUACUUCACCGACCGGAUCGGGAGGUCGGGCAAACUGGUGCUGAGACACGUCCCAGAAACCUGCGGUAGGCAGCGGUAGGGAAUCUUCGGGAAUGGACGGAAGUCGGACCGAGCAACGCGGCGUGAGUGAAGAAGGUUUUCGGAUCGUAAAGCUCUGUUGUUGGAGAAACGGUAACUAACCAGAAAGGGACGGCUAACUACGUGCCAGCAGCCGCGGUAAUAC
rnacentral:rRNA from 1 species